CAGAAAACCUGGUAUAGAAAGGUCCAUCUAAAGAACAGAGGAGUUCUAGUUGAACAGAUUCUGUUUUACAUUUGCAAACUUCCCAACUCAUGUUACAACUCACAUUACAAACUCACGUUACUCACUCCUGUAUUGAACGUGAACUAGCUUUGGCCUCCAUACUGCAAAAACCUGAGCAUGUCUCAUUGAAACUGGUAGAUUUGUGUACGGAGGUAAAGUAACAUGUUGAAAGGUUCAGGAAUUAUAAUAUUGUGGAUCCCAGUCACCAAAAUGCACAUGCACCUUUUUAACUUCAUACAUAUCAAUAUUCCCAUUGAUGUCACCGAGACUUCUCACAUGAUUGUACCUAUGCACUCAUUUACAUAUUAACAGAAUGAGGUUCUGAAUGCUUGGUAAAGAAAAGAAAACACUUUCUAGGCUAAAGGUGCUGAUAAAGUAGUGCCAACUGCACAGCAGAGGGGAGGUAAUGCUCUCUGGUGCAGGGCAGGAUGACUCAUGGCAGGAGAAGGAAGGGAAAUGCCACAAACGUGCAUUUUAUGACUGUUCUCAACAGGAACAAUAUGCAGUUUCGACUUACAACGCUUGAUCCGAUGUGACGCCACACCAGUGAACAAGUUCGCUGUAUCGCUUAUCUCCCUGGAGAACAUCUGUCCAAACUUCCUUGGACACUUUCUUUAAGAAAGCAGCCAAGACUCCAGAAAAACCUGCAGCCAAGACUCCUGAGAAGACUCCAGCCAAGAGCCCUUCAAAAAGUCCAACUGAGAGCCUUUCAAAAAGUCCAGCAAAGUCACCUCAAAGAAGUCCUUCCAAAUCAAUGAUUGCUUUUUACAAUAUAAAUACAUUAAUACAGCUAUAUUACUCAUCUAUAAUUGAUCAAAUACAAAAUUCUGGAGUAUUUUUUGUGAAAAUAGGACAUCGGGCCUUGGUUCAGGAACAAAUCCGCCAUUUAUAACCUUGUUUCUUAUGAGAAAAUUGGUUCCAAGUUAUGUUUCAACUAAUGACGCAGUUUUCAGGAACCAAUCAUGUCAUUAGUCCAAGGACUGCCUGUAUAGGAUAUCCAUGUUUGUACACAUACAGACAUCAUGGGUGCCAACAAUAUCACAUCCAGGCAGUGUCUGGUCUGGAUAGGCAGGCUUCUAAAACCUGUGUCAAAGACAUAGCUAUCAGCAUUUGGAUCUGUUCAUAUGACUACCAUAGUGUGUCAGUACUUAGGAGGAGCAAGACAUUGACUGUGAAUUCAGUACACUAAGCAUUGUAAAAUGAGUAAAAGAUGAAUGUCUCGUUGGGGUAGGGACUAAUCCAGCAGAGUUCAAUUCAUAAGGGGUGCACUUCUAGAAUUAUGAAAUGAAUCAGCUUCUCUGAGUCUACAUGCCCUAGCCUGUUAUCCCAAACACGAGCGUAAACCAAGAGAACAAAAUCUUGAGUCCAUCCUUUUGCUUUGCUACAGCAGGUGAGAAAGUGUUUUUUAUCCCCUUGUUAGCCAGCUGUUAAAAAGCAGUGACACACCUAUCUGCUCCUGCCUGUCUAUAAGGAAGAAGACAUUUAGAGGGGAAUUUGAAUUCAAUUCAAGUGUAAAGAGAGGAUAAAAUAUGCUAUUUCUAAGAUGGAAGACAAACAGAAAAACUGGAAGGUUAUUAAUGAAAGAAAAAUACGACAUAAAACAACCCAACCAGAUGCCCUUUGUGCUUUCUUCAUUCCUUGAAAUGUACCCAGCCUUUUUUUCCUCUACAGAUCCCAUUUAACUGUGUGAAGUCAAUACGAUCUUUAGAAACGAAUUACCCAGGGAUCAAUAAUUGGAAUGUGCACUUUGACCAGUAUUCCUACUGUUGACCUAUUUACAUGAUGAUCGUGUCACUCAAUAUUCAAAUAAAGGUGAUAAAUAAGUGAUGUAAUUCCUAAGA